rnacentral:misc_RNA from 1 species
GAUGAAGAACGUAGCGAAAUGCGAUGCGUAAUGUGAAUUGCAGAAUUCAGUGAAUCAUCGAGUCUUUGAACGCACAUUGCGCCCCCUGGUAUUCCGGGGGGCAUGCCUGUCCGAGCGUCAUUGCUGCCCUCAAGCACGGCUUGUGUGUUGGGCCUCCGUCCUCCUCCCGGGGGACGGGCCCGAAAGGCAGCGGCGGCACCGCGUCCGGUCCUCGAGCGUAUGGGGCUUCGUCACCCGCUCUUGUAGGCCCGGCCGGCGCUUGCCGACACAUCAAUCUUUUUUCCAGGUUGACCUCGGAUCAGGUAGGGAUACCCGCUGAACUUAAGCAUAUCAAUAAGCGGAGGA